rnacentral:rRNA from 1 species
AGAGUUUGAUCAUGGCUCAGAACGAACGCUGGCGGCGUGGAUAAGACAUGCAAGUCGGACGAGAUUUUUCGCUGUAGCAAUACGGUGGAAAGUCUAGUGGCGAACGGGUGCUUAACACGUGGGCAACCUGCCGAGAAGUGGGGGAUAGCUCGCCGAAAGGCGAAUUAAUACCGCAUGUGAUUAGAGAGGACAUCCUUUCGAAAUUAAAGUCGGGGCAACCUGACGCUUUUUGUGGGGCCCGCGGCCUAUCAGCUAGUUGGUGAGGUAACGGCCCACCAAGGCUUUGACGGGUAGCUGGUCUGAGAGGACGACCAGCCACACUGGGACUGAGACACGGCCCAGACACCUACGGGUGGCAGCAGUCGAGAAUUUUUGACAAUGGGGGAAACCCUGAUCGAGCGACGCCGCGUGGAGGAUGAAGGUCUUCGGAUUGUAAACUUCUGUCAUUGGGGAACAAGGUGCAUACGUUAACUGCGUGUGCAUUGAUAGUACUCGAAGAGGAAGAGACGGCUAACUCUGUGCCAGCAGCCGCGGUAAUACAGAGGUCUCAAGCGUUGUUCGGAUUCAUUGGGCGUAAAGGGUGCGUAGGCGGCGCGGUAAGUCGGGUGUGAAAUCUUGGAGCUUAACUCCGAAACUGCAUUCGAUACUGCCGUGCUUGAGGACUGGAGAGGAGACUGGAAUUUACGGUGUAGCGGUGAAAUGCGUAGAUAUCGUAAGGAAGACCAGUGGCGAAGGCGGGUCUCUGGACAGUUCCUGACGCUGAGGCACGAAGGCCAGGGGAGCAAACGGGAUUAGAUACCCUAGUAGUCC